rnacentral:lncRNA from 1 species
UUAAACCAAAUCAAAUUAUAGUCACAAUAUCUCAAGAAAAAGGUAACAACAUGUACCGCUCUACAAUUAUCAAAAAUAAAUACUAAACAUGAUAACCUAAUUCAAAGAGUACAAAUACGAGCCAAUGCAUCAACUCCAAAAUAAAACUAAUAUAUGAAUUUCACAAGAAACAAUUAUGUGAAAGAAUAACGAAAUUUGAAAUAAGUGACAAAACGAACAAAACGAACAAAUCAAAUUUAACAAGAAUAUCGCUGAAAGAGUACGGAAUCCGUACCUGAUACUUCCAAACCAUUUAUAGCACACUCCACAAAAUCUUACCCUCAAAUGCCAACGAUAUCAAAUACGAAACGUUAUUCACAACCUAAACAUAUUCACCUCAAAUUAAAAAAAAUCCAAACUAAUAAUUCCAAAAUAAUUCAUAAUCUAUUUAAUAUGCCUAUAAUCAUCGC